GGACAAGUCAGGGGCAGUGGUGGAGAGUCCGUAAUGAACGUGGUGAGGAGGGUCAUGUUGCCAAGAAUGUUCUGGAGACUCUGGAUGGAAGGGAACUCUGGGAUGAGGGCUGAGGAGGUGUGAUCCCCACCAGUCCAGAUCUCCAGAUGGCAAAGCAUGGCUGGGGUACAAGACCUUCUCCAAAAUUCUUCGUUUGCAGCUUGCCAGUGAAUCCAACAGCUAUGGCCCUUAUAAUGGUCAUCAGACUGACUCGUCCUAAAGAACCAAGAGUCUACGGAGGGAGAACCAUUUAACCUUAUAAUUGUGUACACUUAUAGACGUCAGUGCAGUCCGUAGAAUGGAGUGAUGACUAAGCAAAACAAUUGGAGUAGCCAAAGAGAACUACUUUGUUAGUACUCCUAGCCACUUGUGAGCCCAUGUUAGAUCGUACAGUUUAUUUCAGUAAUUCUGAAUAUCCACAUUUGCAAGAAUCAAGGAACAAAAAUCGCCAAGCUUCAAAGUGUCCUCAAUGUUUACAGUGGACAGAUAUGCAAUAGUUUCUCUUUUGCACUUGAACGAAUGUAUUGUACUCAUCAUUAAAACAAUAUCCUUUGCAUAUUCGGGUAACGUUAUCCUGAAAAUAAAGUGAUGACACUGACAUUUAAUGAAAUCAUUUUUUAUUAACUCAAGGUUCUAAUUAUCACUUUAAAACAUUUAUGCUUUUUAGUUUCCAAAAAAAAAAAGAAAAAAAAAAGUACAAAACAAAAAUCAUAAGUCAGGACAGUAAAUUAUUUUAGCCAUUCAAACAUCUAACAUUAGUUAAUGUCACUCCAUUCCAAAGAUGAUACAUUUUCCUCCGUGCCAAUACUCAACCACAGGCAGCCAGAUCCUGAUAUUUUGCCACUGAAAUAGGAUUAAAGAACAGAAUUGGCCUGCCUGUGUAAAAACCUU